rnacentral:rRNA from 1 species
UACGAAGGGGGCGAGCGUUAUUCGGAAUCACUGGGCGUAAAGCGUGCGUAGGCGGUUAUGAAAGUUAGGAGUGAAAGCCCAGGGCUCAACCUUGGAAUUGCUUUUAAAACUACAUAGCUAGAAUUCGAUAGAGGAUGGCGGAAUUAUCAGUGUAGCAGUGAAAUGCGUAGAUAUUGAUAGGAACACCGGUGGCGUAGGCGGCCAUCUAGAUCGACAUUGACGCUGAGGUACGAAAGCGUGGGUAGCAAACAGG